rnacentral:rRNA from 2 species
GCUGGCGGCGUGCCUAAUACAUGCAAGUCGAGCGAACAGAUAAGGAGCUUGCUCCUUUGACGUUAGCGGCGGACGGGUGAGUAACACGUGGGUAACCUACCUAUAAGACUGGGAUAACUUCGGGAAACCGGAGCUAAUACCGGAUAACAUUUGGAACCGCAUGGUUCUAAAGUGAAAGAUGGUUUUGCUAUCACUUAUAGAUGGACCCGCGCCGUAUUAGCUAGUUGGUAAGGUAACGGCUUACCAAGGCGACGAUACGUAGCCGACCUGAGAGGGUGAUCGGCCACACUGGAACUGAGACACGGUCCAGACUCCUACGGGAGGCAGCAGUAGGGAAUCUUCCGCAAUGGGCGAAAGCCUGACGGNGCAACGCCGCAUGAGUGAUGAAGGGUUUCGGCUCGUAAAACUCUGUUAUUAGGGAAGAACAAAUGUGUAAGUAACU